UCUUAACCCCUCAAAGGGUCAUGCAACCCUUCCUUUCAUUCUCUUUUCCCUUCCUGAUGGAGGGGAUCUUGCAUCUCUACAUGUUGCAUGAUGAGUAAGAUGGUGCCAGCCUCUCUAUUCCACCUCCGCCACAAUGAAUGACGAAAGAAAGAGAGAGAGAGAAUUUUAAACAAGGUUCUGGUUGGACUUGGUGUUUGUGUUUGUGGUUGUGGUCUUUAUCUUUCUUUCAUUUUUUUCUUUUCUUAAAUUUGUAUUUUCGAAUUUCUUUUUUUCUUUUUUUUUUUCUCUUUCUCCUUUUUUCUUGGUUUCUUGUUAGGUAGUAAACCCUAAUACAAUCUUCAAAUAAUUAAGUUGUGGCUCAGUCCCCAAGAAGAUUAUGGGUGGAUCACAGACUUUUCUUUUAUUUUGUUUUCCAGCUAUCUCUCUUUUCCUUCAGAUCUGAAUCAAUUAUGAAUUUUUUUUCCCCUUUCUGAUUUUUUCAAAAGCACAUAAUUUUUUUGUGAGGUUUCCAAAUUUGGGUAGCUAUCUUAUUAGUAUUUACUCAUAUGUUUCUAUUUUUUGUUGGAACAUAGAAAUUGACAGAAGAGAGUGAGCACACAGAGGCACUUGGUAUAGCUAUAUACUAUUGCUUUUGCGUGCUCACUUCUCUUUCUGUCAGUUUCCAUUGCCGGGAAACACUAUGUGGCUCUGCUUGUUCCAAUCCCAAUCACAAACCCACCUUCAACCCGCUCUCUCUUUCUCUCUGGACACAAUGAUGGAGCUGAUGAAGAAUACCGACUGCAACAGGUUACAUAUCAUUUAUGGAACAGUGAAAGGCACUGUGGCGCUUCGACGCUUGCAGCAUCAAUUUUUUAUUGUAAAGGUUUCCAAUUUAACAUGUCUUUGCCUCUCUUCCCCCCUCCAUCUCUCUCUUUGACAAUAUCUACACUCCCGUAAGCAAGAAGACAACUUAAAAGACUGUAGAUGUAUUGGAAAAAGGAGAAGUAUCUGGGGGAUAUGCUUACAAUUUUAGUUUAUUAUGGGAGGAGCUCUUCAGGUUCAAUUCAAAGUUUAUGAUCUGAAGAAUAUGCACCAUCCUUUUCUAUAUGGGAAAUAGUAGUCUCAUGUUGUAGGAGACUACUAUCGUAUGCCAUAGACAGUUCGAUAAGUGUGCUGCUAUUUUCUUUUUUCUUUUUUUUAGUGGUGGGUCCCAUCAUUUUGUGUCUUAGCAUAAGAUAUGCUCUCUCCUAAGAAUAGACAAACCCUUUCUAUAUAUGAUUAGAUGUAUCAUGAUUAUACCUUUAUUUAUAAAGAGUCUAAAAUGAGAGUAUGACUUAUGUUUCUUUCAAAUAUCUGUAUGAGUCAGAAGUUUCAUGUUACUAAAUGCUAAAUUAACUUUAUAUUAUUUUGCAAAUGAUUUUAGGUUGACAAAUGAAUCAGAGACUAACAAGUCUAGGGCAUUGAGGGACACUUAUUUACUUCAUAAUAUUUGCAAUUCCUAUAUCCGACUUACUUGUUUAUAAAUGUAUUGUCAAUUAAUGGAUAUCUUUUCAUACUUAUCUUUUGUCUUUCAAUUUGGUUUGAAAAAGCCUUUGGAAAAAUGAAUAUAUGGUGAUGACUCCUGUAAGCAUUGUUCAUAUACAACAAUCAAUUGAUUUAGUACUUAUUUCCCCCCUCAUCAAUGUUUCAAAGAAAAACAUAUCAUUCACAGAAGAAGAGUAUUGUUUUGUAGGUUAUAGAUUGCUCUUCAUGCAUCUAAUAAUAUUUUUAUUGGUCUUAAAGUCCAAACUACUUGUUCCCAACAGCUCAGUUAAGCAAGUUUUACUGUGCCACCCAAGUAAAUUCAUGCAACCUUUUACAUUGUAUAACUUUUGGACCUAGUGAAAAUUGAUUCGAACAUUAUGAUUCCAUGUCUUGUAUUUGGUAUAAAAUACAGAACUUUAUACUCACAAAUAACUGUUUUACAUAUGGAUUACACUUGAAUGCAUUCUGACUUGUAUAUUUUCAACAUUCUAUGUGGAAGCGUGUAAAUUCAACAAAAAAGUUAAUUAACAUAUCAGUUAUUUGAUUCAUUUUCAUUUCAAAAUCGACUUAAGAAAGUUAUAACUGGUAAAUAUUGUGUUUUGAUCUUCCAAAGAGUUUCCCUUGAAAUUGUGUCCUUUUUCAUUUUCAAUCCAUGUUGGAUCAUUUAAUUGAGUAUUAGGCAUAUCAGUUGAUCAAUUUUUGGUUUAUAGUUUGCUUGUGUCAUAUUAUUAAUUUCUGUUUCAAUAUCCAAUUCAAUAGGUAAUGGGUUUUGUAGUUUUUUUUCCUGGUUGGGUAGUUAAGGGCUUCAACUGAAUCUUCUUUUGAAGCUCCUAGUAAGUAUUUUUACUGUGUCCACGUCUUUAUGUCAGUUGAGUAUUAGGCAUGUCAGUUGAUAUUAUUUUGUUUAUAGUUUGCUUGUGUCAUAUUAUUAGCUUUUGUUUCAAGCUCCAACUCAAUAGGUACUGGGUUUUGUAGUAUUUUGAUAUUUUCCCUGGUUGGCUAAUUAAGGGCCUCAACUGAAUCUUCUUUUGAAGCUCCUAGUGAGUAUUUUAAUUAUGAGUCCACGUCUUUAUGUUUUCUUUUAUAUACCUGCUUCAUCUUAUGAAUUUAUGCUGGCAGGUAGUCAUUGUGCAAAUUAUAUUAUCUAUGCCUUGUUGGAAAAAAAUCAUGUUGUAUAAUACAUCAUCAUUGACCGCUUCUUAUAUUUAGACAGUCAAAUGGUGAUUAAUAAGGCUAUAGUUGUAAAUUCGAUUGUCUAUUGUUCUUUUUACUUAUGUUUAAAAGCUAAUGUUUAGAAUCUUUGUCUACUAGUUACUUGGUUGAAACUUUUCACUUUUCACAAGAACAAUUUACAGGUUAGUAAAAGGAUGGAUGCAUAGCUUGAGAGGUAAAUAGUGGUAAUUAUGUUGGGGAUUCAAGUAUGAGUGAUGAAGUGCUAUAUUUAUUAAGAAUGGAUUAAGAACCAUAUAAGUAAAAAGACUCUUAAGCUUAAUGUUUUGGAAUGAGAUGUAAUGCUAAGUUCAUUUAUUGUGGUUUUUAAUUUAGUGAUGAAGGCCUUUGGUUUGAGUUUCCCAUGAUCACUUGACAUAUGCUUAGUCUAUAUGUUCAUGUUUUUCUAGGUGUAAUUAUUUUGACACGUUCCAAGAGUGCAUUUAUUGUGUAAUCAUCGUAGGUGAUCGCAAAAUGUUCUUCUCAAGUAUAUAACAUAUUUUCCCUUUCAAGUGGAAGCUUUUUCGAGUAUUAAUGAGAUUUUCAAUCAAGACUUAAGUCUUGGUCCUAUAACAUAGAUUAGGAAUAUACCCAAAUACCAACCACCAUAUUCAAAUAUUCAGAAAUCAAUCAAGGCUGGCUUAGCCAAACCAUUGACUGUGAUGCCAAUAUUAUGCAGAAAAUCAGGAUUAGAAUCUUUCUGUUUUUAUUUGGGAUGCAAUCAUAUCCCUGAUUUAUAGCCUAUUAAUUAAAGAUUUAUUUUUUUCUUUAAUAGGGAUUUGAAUUUGUUUCCAUUUUUUUCUCAUUUACUCUUGUAUAAAUAUACUCUUUCAGUGUAAAUCAAAUUGUAUCAAAUCAGAAAAGCUUUUGUCUUACAUCUCUCAAUAUGGUAUCAAGAGCAGGUUGGUCCUGAGAAUACUCAGCCACCACAACCAUCGUCAAACUGGCGGCACAUCGCUGGAAAACUCAACUCCAAGCCAUUGUUAAGGUUGUUUUCCGCUUCCUACAAAGUCCCAAGAGCAAAAUUCGGCCGAAUCCCAGCCUUCCACCACUGCCGUUAGCCACCGUCAGUAGCAUCGAAAAUACUUUUUGGCAAUAUUUUCGGCAAGACCCACACCUUUUGAAACAGGAGCCGAUCUACAAGUUCCAAGAAAGACCACCAGAUUCUGCUGAGCCACGCGCUCGCACGCGACAAAGAAAGGACGGAGCGUCCGCCCCAAGCGCAGCCACCAUACAACGCAUGCAAGCCACGCGCCUCCCUACAGUGCUCUGUUAUGGUUCGAAAAGGUCUCGUUCGGCUCGUCUCCCUUUUUCCUAUCUGUUUGAAGCCUUUUUUAUUUUGGACUAUGGCUAUCCAAGAGAAAAACAACUUAGAGAGUGACUAUUUCUACUGUUGGGCGCAAAACGGUUCCUCUUCUACUGGAGAAAUAUAAUCUCAAUGAUUAAUUUAACAAUUAUGCCAUAUCAAUUGUUAACAUAUCAUAUUAAAAAUUCACAUGAUUAACGGUCAACAGCUUGAACAUGUGGAAAUGGAGAAGAGUCCAACCAUUUCUUGUUAGGCAGUUUCCAAUUUGUUAGUUUUGUUAUUCAGAGUCUGUUAAGUCAAUUUGCUUAUUUUUCUUUUCUUCUUUGUACGUUUAGCUUUCAUGCACUCCUAUAUCUUUUAGGAGUCAGAUCAUUGUAAUUCAUUCAUUCAGAAAAUAAAAAAAAUUCAAUUUUCAUAAGAUGAUAUCAUAUCUCUCUUGAGGGCUCUGGUAUAUUUCUCUUCCGCUGAUACCUUCCAUUUAUUGAUCUUCUUCUUUCUUGCUACUCUCAACUAGGCAUAUCAAAAUCAACUUUCUGAUCCUUUCUUUCUUCAUCAUAACAAAUCUCCUUCGUUGGUUCUUGUAUCACCAUUGUUGAAUAAAAGAAAUUACCAUAAUGGUCACAAGCAAUGACAGUGGCUCUCAGAUUGAAAAACAAGCUAGCAUUUGUUAAUGACAGCAUUACUUCUCCAUUGGAAACAGACCCGACAUUCCCAACAUGGGAAAGGUGCAACACAAUGGUGUAGGGAUGGCUUCAUCGUUCAAUAGCAAACAAUAUAGUUCAAUCCAUACUUUGGAUAGACAAGGCGUAUGAGGUUUGGAAUGAUUUACAUGACAAAUUUUCUCAAUCUGACAUGUUUAGGAUAUCAAAUUUGCAGGAGGAAAUAUACAAGAUGAACCAAGGUGAUAGAUCUGUAACCAAUUACUUCACAAACUUGAAAACGUUAUGGGACGAGUUGAGCAAUCUGAUACCACUUCCUGGAUGCACUUGCAGCACUCUAACUUAGAUGUGCGAGUACAGAGAUGGUGAUUAUGUAAUAAGAUUUUUGAGAGGACUCAAUGAAGAAUUUUCGCACGUUUGUUCUCAAAUUAUGCUGAUGAAUCCUCUUGCAGAUGUAAACAAGCCUUUUUCUUUAGUUGUGCAAUUAGAAAGGCAAUUCCCGUCAGAGCCACAUGAUAGAGGCAAUAAUGAAACCAAGAUUUUUUCAAGUUCAUCAGGAAACUUUCGAGAUCGUAGCUCUUCGUAUAGAGGGAGAAGGUGAACGAAUGCAGGCAAAGGACAAGAUCCAAGAAUCCUUAACAAAACCACAAAGCAAAUUACGUGGUUCAAGCAACAGAGGAAAAUAGUAUAGAAAUUCCAUAUCCAGGAGUGUCAAUCUCGAAGGAGCAAUAUCAAGAAUUUGAUGAAUUACAUGCAGCAAUCAAAGGCUGCACAUGCUACUAACAUGGCACAAGCCUUGAAGUCAAGUGAAGUGCCUUUCUCUUUUGCAGGUUAAAGUUGCAGAAGGAAAUAGGAGGAUCAGAUCAUGUACGUAGUAGCACAUAAUGUAGAAGAGUUCAGUUAGUUGAUGAAGAGAAAGCAAAAACCGCCCCUGGAUUGCCAUGGUAGCUGACAAAAAAUCUUAAUGAUUGGAAAUGCUAGAAAAGGCAGAGAAAAACAAUUACUUCAGUUUUGGAUUUUGGCAAUUUAGAAUGGAGUUUGUUCAUCGUGGGAACCAUUCGUGGGUAUUCAAAUGCUUCGACUUUUGGAGAAUUCCUCAGGCGUGUCUCGAAUUUUCAAUUUGCAGAGAACACAAGACCAGAAAGAAGCAUAUCUGAAGUAUCGUUUAUGAGGAUUGUGUAAUGUAUGGCUGCAGUGAGAACCGCCAACCCGCCCCAUUAGGUUAAGGUCUUCGUGGGUAAGGGCUAAAAAUCUUGCUAGGCCAAAGCUCCAAAAAAAACUCUUAUGGGUUAGGGUUAACCUCUUGAUCAUUUAAAGUUACAAUCUCAACUCUAUGGGUUAGGGUUACCUCUUGAUAGACAUUUAAAGUUAC